AGAGUUUGAUCAUGGCUCAGGAUGAACGCUAGCGGCAGGCUUAACACAUGCAAGUCGAGGGGCAGCAUGGUGUAGCAAUACACUGAUGGCGACCGGCAAACGGGUGCGGAACACGUACGCAAUCUACCUCUUUCAGGGGCAUAGCCCGAAGAAAUUCGGAUUAACUCCCCAUAAGAUAAUGGUGUGGCAUCACACAGUUAUUAAAGCUCCGGUGGAAAGAGAUGAGCGUGCGUCCCAUUAGCUAGUUGGUAGGGUAACGGCCUACCAAGGCGACGAUGGGUAGCUGGUGUGAGAGCACGACCAGCCACACGGGCACUGAGACACGGGCCCGACUCCUACGGGAGGCAGCAGUGAGGAAUAUUGGUCAAUGGACGCAAGUCUGAACCAGCCAUGCCGCGUGAAGGAUGAAGGCGUUCUGCGUUGUAAACUUCUUUUAUCUGGGAAGAAACCUCCUUUUUCUAAGGGAGCCGACGGUACCAGAGGAAUAAGCACCGGCUAACUCCGUGCCAGCAGCCGCGGUAAUACGGAGGGUGCAAGCGUUAUCCGGAUUCACUGGGUUUAAAGGGUGUGUAGGCGGAUAUUUAAGUCCGAGGUGAAAUCUCUGAGCUCAACUCAGAAACUGCCUUGGAUACUAUUUAUCUUGAAUAUCGUUGAGGUAGGCGGAAUAUGUCAUGUAGCGGUGAAAUGCUUAGAUAUGACAUAGAACACCGAUUGCGAAGGCAGCUUGCUAAACGAUUAUUGACGCUGAGGCACGAAAGCGUGGGGAUCAAACAGGAUUAGAUACCCUCGUAGUCC
rnacentral:rRNA from 1 species